UAAGGGAUAUUGGUCAAUGGGGGAAACCCUGAACCAGCAACGCCGCGUGAGGGAAGACGGUUUUCGGAUUGUAAACCUCUGUCCUCUGUGAAGAUGAUGACGGUAGCAGAGGAGGAAGCUCCGGCUAACUACGUGCC
rnacentral:rRNA from 1 species